rnacentral:siRNA from 1 species
UCAAUACCGGUAGUAGAGAUGAUGAAC